AUUGAACGCUGGCGGCAGGCCUAACACAUGCAAGUCGAACGAGUGGCGGACGGGUGAGUAAUGUCUGGGAAACUGCCUGCUGGAGGGGGAUAACUACUGGAAACGGUAGCUAAUACCGCAUACCAUCAGAUGUGCCCAGAUGGGAUUAGCUAGUUGGUGGGGUAACGGCGAACCAAGACGACGAUCCCGAGCUGGUGUGAGAGGAUGACGAGCCACACUGGACCGGGGACACGGUCCAGACUCCUACGGGAGGCAGCGGUGGGGAAUAUUGCACAAUGGGCGCAAGGCUGAUGCAGCCAUGCCGGGUGUAUGAAGAAGGCCUUCGGGUUGUAAAGUUCUUUCAGCGGGGAGGCGUUACCCGCAGAAGAAGCACCGGCUAACUCCGUGCCAGCAGCCGCGGUAAUAC
rnacentral:rRNA from 1 species